AACGAACGCUGCGGCGCGUCUUAAGCAUGCAAGUCGAACGGUAAGGGAGAGCUUGCUCUCCCCUAGAGUGGCGGACUGGUGAGUAACGCGUGGGUGACCUGCCUUGAAGAUGGGGAUAGCUAGUAGAAAUAUUAGAUAAUACCGAAUGUGCCCAUUUACAUAAAGGUAAAUGAGGAAAGGAGCUACGGCUCCGCUUCAGGAUGGGCCCGCGUCCCAUUAGCUGGUUGGUGAGGUAAAGGCUCACCAAGGCAACGAUGGGUAUCCGGCCUGAGAGGGUGAACGGACACAUUGGGACUGAGAUACGGCCCAAACUCCUACGGGAGGCAGCAGCUAAGAAUCUUCCGCAAUGGACGAAAGUCUGACGGAGCGACGCCGUGUGAAUGAAGAAGGCCGAAAGGUUGUAAAAUUCUUUUGCAGAUGAAGAAUAAUCAUAGGAGGGAAUGCCUGUGAGAUGACGGUAUCAUGCGAAUAAGCCCGGGC
rnacentral:rRNA from 1 species